rnacentral:rRNA from 1 species
GCCGGCAGCUAGCUCUCUGCAACUCUCACAUGGUCGCCCACUGAAGCUAAGCAGGGUUGUGCCUGGUUAAUACCUGGAUGGGAGACCAAAUGGGAAAGCUAGGUUGCUGCCAGAA